rnacentral:rRNA from 2 species
GGUGAACGCUGGCGGCGUGCCUAACACAUGCAAGUCGAGCGGGUACCCGCAAGGGUACCAGCGGCGCACGGGUGAGUAACACGUGGGUAAUCUACCCCUCGGAGGGGGAUAACCGGGGGAAACUCCGGCUAAUACCCCAUACGAUCCAACAACACAAGUUGUUGGAUGAAAGGAGCGUUUGCUCCGCCGAGGGAUGAGCCCGCGGCCCAUCAGGUAGUUGGUGGGGUAAUGGCCCACCAAGCCUACGACGGGUAGCCGGCCUGAGAGGGUGGUCGGCCACAAGGGCACUGAGACACGGGCCCUACUCCUACGGGAGGCAGCAGUGGGGAAUCUUGGACAAUGGGCGAAAGCCUGAUCCAGCGACGCCGCGUGGGGGAUGAAGCCCUUCGGGGUGUAAACCCCUGUUGCGAGGGAGGAAUAAGGCCUGGAGGAAAUGCCAGGCCGAUGACUGUACCUCGCGAGGAAGCCCCGGCUAACUACGUGCCAGCAGCCGCGGUAAUACGUAGGGGGCGAGCGUUACCCGGAUUCACUGGGCGUAAAGCGGGUGUAGGCGGCUCGGUAAGUCGGGUGUGAAACCCCACAGCUCAACUGUGGAAUUGCGCCCGAAACUGCUGAGCUUGGGGCCGGUAGAGGGAGACGGAACUGCCGGUGUAGGGGUGAAAUCCGUAGAUAUCGGCAGGAACGCCGGUGGGGAAGCCGGUCUCCUGGGCCGCGCCCGACGCUGAGACCCGAAAGCUAGGGGAGCAAACC